CAAACCUUCCAGCCUGUCUUGCCUCCGCUCGAGGCUACAGGACACUUCACCCUCUGCCGCCCCGCCUCGUCGCCAUCCUCCACCCGCUAUAUAUAGCCGCCCUCCUCGAGUCUUCCUCCUCCAUCGGCCAUCGCCGUCUCCAGCAGAGAAGAAGCGGCACAGCUCAAGGACAGCGCAGCACGCAAGCGGGACCGCACCGAAGCAGCACACAGCACACAAGAUCACACAUCCUACUGCUGCGCCGCACAAUGGGCAUCUGCGUGUCGUGCGACGCGGCGGACGAGGGCGCCGCGACGGCGAGGGUGGUGCUCCCCAGCGGCGAGCUCCGGGAGUACGCCCCGCCGGCCACGGCCGGGACGGCGCUGCAGGCGGCCGGCGGCGAGGGCCCCUGGCUCCUCUGCGACGCCGACGGGAUGGCGUUCGAGGGCCCCGUCGCCGUCGCGGCGGUCGCCCCCGGCGAGGAGCUCCAGGCCGGGCAGAUCUACUUCGUGCUCCCCGCCGAGAUGCGGCGCCGCCGCCUCACCCGCGAGGAGGUCGCCGCGCUCGCCGUCAGGGCCAGCUCGGCGCUCGUCAAGGCCGCGGCGGCCGCGCAACCGUCCUCGCCCUGCCGCCGGCUCCGGCGCGGCGCGGUGGCGCCGCUCGUGUUCCCGGUCCCCGAGGAGGAGUACGCGGCGGCGGACGCGGUCUCGCCCGUCGCGGCGAAGCCGCACCAGAAGCGGAGGGUGGCGUGCCGGGGCGGGAGGGCGUCCAGGUUCUCCCCCGACCUGACCGCGAUCCCGGAGACCGAGAGCGAGUAGAUCGAGCCUCCGCUCGGCAUGUGAUAUGUCUCUGGUGGUCAGUGGUGACGGGUCGCUCGCCGGCGCUUGGUCGGACGGUGUGGCCGCGCCGGAGAUCGACGGUGCGGGAAGUGUUGUAGAUGCAGAGCUCAGAAAUGAGAAAUGUGAGUAGGCAACAGGAUGCGCGUGUAGAGUGUACGUUACGUGUAGGUUUAGGUGCAUGCAAGUGUAAAUACACGGGAUCUCCGUGCGGUGUGCCCAGUCACAGUUUGGAACUCAGCUUUUAUUAGUGCUCGUGUUCAGGCUCUGUGUCGUGCAUCAUGGAAUAAAUCUCUCCUUGUCUGUGAAAAAGGAAAUCUCUCCUUGUGACCAGUAUGUGAUUCAAG
rnacentral:misc_RNA from 1 species